rnacentral:rRNA from 1 species
GAGAGUUUGAUCCUGGCUCAGAGCGAACGCUGGCGGCAGGCUUAACACAUGCAAGUCGAGCGGGCAUAGCAAUAUGUCAGCGGCAGACGGGUGAGUAACGCGUGGGAACGUACCUUUUGGUUCGGAACAACACAGGGAAACUUGUGCUAAUACCGGAUAAGCCCUUACGGGGAAAGAUUUAUCGCCGAAAGAUCGGCCCGCGUCUGAUUAGCUAGUUGGUGAGGUAAUGGCUCACCAAGGCGACGAUCAGUAGCUGGUCUGAGAGGAUGAUCAGCCACAUUGGGACUGAGACACGGCCCAAACUCCUACGGGAGGCAGCAGUGGGGAAUAUUGGACAAUGGGCGCGAGCCUGAUCCAGCCAUGCCGCGUGAGUGAUGAAGGCCCUAGGGUUGUAAAGCUCUUUUGUGCGGGAAGAUAAUGACGGUACCGCAAGAAUAAGCCCCGGCUAACUUCGUGCCAGCAGCCGCGGUAAUACGAAGGGGGCUAGCGUUGCUCGGAAUCACUGGGCGUAAAGGGUGCGUAGGCGGGUCUUUAAGUCAGGGGUGAAAUCCUGGAGCUCAACUCCAGAACUGCCUUUGAUACUGAAGAUCUUGAGUUCGGGAGAGGUGAGUGGAACUGCGAGUGUAGAGGUGAAAUUCGUAGAUAUUCGCAAGAACACCAGUGGCGAAGGCGGCUCACUGGCCCGAUACUGACGCUGAGGCACGAAAGCGUGGGGAGCAAACAGGAUUAGAUACCCUGGUAGUCCACGCCGCAAACGAUGAAUCCCAGCCGUUAGUGGGUUUACUCACUAGUGGAGCAGCUAACGCUUUAAGCAUUCCGCCUGGGGAGUACGGUCGCAAGAUUAAAACUCAAAGGAAUUGACGGGGACCCGCACAAGCGGUGGAGCAUGUGGUUUAAUUCGACGCAACGCGCAGAACCUUACCAGCCCUUGACAUCCCGGUCGCGGACUCCAGANACGGAAUUAUUCAGUUCGGCUGGACCGGAGACAGGUGCUGCAUGGCCGUNGUCAGCUCGUGUCGUGAGAUGUUGNGUUAAGUCCCNCAACGAGCGCAACNCCCGUCCUUAGUUNNUNCCAUUUAGUUGAGCACUNUAAGGAGANUGCCGGUGAUAAGCCGCGAGGAAGGUGGGGAUGACGUCAAGUCCUCAUGGCCCUUACGGGCUGGGNUACACACGUGCUNCAAUGGCGGUGACAAUGGGAUGCUAAGGGGCGACCCUUCGCAAAUNUCAAAAAGCCGUCUCAGUUCGGAUUGGGNUCUGCAACUNGAGCCCAUGAAGUUGGAAUCGCUAGUAAUCGUGGAUCAGCACGCCACGGUGAAUACGUUCCCGGGCCUUGUACACACCGCCCGUCACACCAUGGGAGUUGGUUUUACCUGAAGACGGUGCGCUAACCGAAAGGGGGCAGCCGGCCACGGUAGGGUCAGCGAUCUGGGGUGAAGUCGUAAUCAAGGUAGCCGUAG